AAGUGAAAUAAUACUUCGCAUGGAAAGGGUUUAAAAAGAGGGGAUUGUGUUUUUGACUGGUUGCCUGUCUACCAGAGGUCUGUUGUAGGGUUGUCAUGGUGAUGACUAGACCUCGCGUUUUGGGGGUAUACUGUCCCUUUAAGAGCCGCCGUAAGCUAGAGCACGCAUGCACUCAAGUUUGUGUCACACACUGAGCGCUGUGAGCGGGAGCGAGAGAGUCAGAGGCUGCAAAUGAUUCAGUGGCUAGCUACACAAGAGAGUUCUUAACGUGCGACGGGUGUAUGUUUAAUGGUCACGUGCUGUGAGAGGGACUGAAGAGCGGGUUGGCUCUGUAUCCUGGACCCUGAGCAGAUACAAGAAUGAACACCAGGCUGAAACAGACACAGCAGGGACUCAGCAGCUCGGAGUCAGCAUACAGUCAAAGACAGAUCAAGGAGGCCGUUCACAAGUCCAUAAAUCAUAAUGACGACCAGUCUGAACUUUUCAGUGUCUGAAUGUCAGGUCGUGUUGGAAGUUUCAUCUGGGUGGAGACGAUGUUGUUAUUGUUGUAGGCUUUCUGUAUAAAUUCCACACAGACGAGUCAUAAAAAUGUCAUUUAUAUCAACAUGGGUUAAACAGUACAAGUGCAUUUUGCCUUUACAACAGUGUCCUGCAUGUUGAAGAAGAAUGAUGAGUGAGUCUUUCUUCUUCAAGUCUUUCACUCAUCACACGUCAUUUUGAGUUGACAGCUGGUUGCUAUAAUGAGCGGCCGAGGCUCCGUUUGAACAGGACACACACUGAUGUAUUUCACACCUUCUCAGAUCCACUGCAGCCUUUACUCUCCCCCACCAAAGUUUCACUUGGUAUCUGCUGAUUAUUUACAUAAAAUAACUAAAUAAACUGAUCAUUUAUAUUACAUUGUAUAGCUUACAUUAACACACAUCCUAGCAAAGUUUGUUUUACACAUUUUACAUAUUUAUUUACAAAUUCACAUUCCAGUGAUGAAACACUGCCAUGAAGUGUUUAGGAAGUGUUUAAUGGUGAACAUUAAUAUUGUGUGAACUGUGCCGCUGCUGUUUUUUUGUUAGACUUUCCAGAAUGGUGUGAUAUUCUGGAGCACUUAAGGGCAACCAGUAAAUAUGAUGUGGGAAAAAUGAACAGAGGUAGUGACUCUGACCAUGUAACAGUAGUUAAUAAUUAAAGCCAGAAGCAGUGACUGCAGCACUGCAUGGCAGGUUCUAAUCCCUGUACCAUAUUGUUUCACCAGAGAGCAAAACCUUUCCUGUGAUUUUUCUGGCAGAUUUUCGGGUUUUGUUUUAGUACAAGACUGAUCAUGCCAGUUAGUUUUGGGUUUGUUUUUUCUUUUUAAGAGAAAGACCGUUUUUAUGCUUGGACGUCCUGAACAAGCCAUAUAUAAAGAUAUGCACUUAAAAGGUAAUAGUUUGAACAAAAUUAAUCACCUUCACAACAAUAGGGGUAUACAGUAGCUGCCAAGCGAGUAUCAGAUGGGAAUGGUUUUAAUUUUCUCUAAAUGUUUUAGCAAAUGUAUCCCAAACGGUAAAGAAUCUCUCCUUCGACCAAUG